rnacentral:rRNA from 1 species
GACGUAGGGCGCGAGCGUUGUCCGGAUUUAUUGGGCGUAAAGAGCUCGUAGGCGGAUUUGCAAGUCGGGGGUGAAAGCCCGAGGCUCAACCUCGGAACUGCCCUCGAUACUGCAAAUCUCGAGUCCGAGAGAGGUGAGUGGAAUUCCUAGUGUAGAGGUGAAAUUCGUAGAUAUUAGGAAGAACACCAGUGGCGAAGGCGGCUCACUGGCUCGGUACUGACGCUGAGGCGCGAAAGCGUGGGGAGCAAACAGG